UAACGCGAAGAACCUUACCUGGGCUUGACAUCGUCGGCGAUGCCGUAUGAAAGUAUGGCGGAGGUUAUCCGAUAGACAGGUGCUGCAUGGCUGUCGUCAGUUCGUGCCGUGAGGUGUCGGCUUAAGUGCCAUAACGAGCGCAACCCCUGCCCCGUGUUGCCAGCAGGUAAAGCUGGGGACUCGCGGGGGACUGCCGCGGAGAACGCGGAGGAAGGCGGGGAUGACGUCAAGUCAUCAUGCCCCUUAUGUCCUGGGCUACACACGUACUACAAUGGGAUGGACAGAGGGAAGCGAAGGAGCGAUCCGGAGCGGACCCCAGAAAGCAUCCCCCAGUUCGGAUUGCAGGCUGCAACCCGCCUGCAUGAAGUCGGAAUCGCUAGUAAUCGCAGGUCAGCAUACUGCGGUGAAUACGUUCCCGGGUCUUGUACACACCGA
rnacentral:rRNA from 1 species